rnacentral:rRNA from 1 species
CCUACGGGUGGCUGCAGUCGAGAAUUUUUCACAAUGGGCGCAAGCCUGAUGGAGCGACGCCGCGUGGGGGAUGAAUGGCUUCGGCCCGUAAACCCCUGUCAUUUGCGAUCAAACCUUGCUAUUUAAAAGAUGGCGAGCUGAUAGUAGCGAAAGAGGAAGGGACGGCUAACUCUGUGCCAGCAGCCGCGGUAAUACAGAGGUCCCAAGCGUUGUUCGGAUUCACUGGGCGUAAAGGGUGCGAGUCGGGUGGGAAAUCUCGGAGCUCAACUCCGAAAGUGCAUUGGAAACUACCCUGCUAGAGGGUCGGAGGGGGGACUGGAAUUCUCGGUGUAGCAGUGAAAUGCGUAGAUAUCGAGAGGAACACCAGUGGCGAAGGCGAGUCCCUGGACGACUCCUGACACUGAGGCACGAAAGCUAGGGGAGCAAACAGGAUUAGAUACCCCAGUAGUC